rnacentral:lncRNA from 1 species
CUUUCUAUAAUCUAAUCCAAAAUAAACUUUGCUUCAAAAAUCGUCUGUUUAUAUCUUCUAAAGCGAAUUCAAAGUUCCAUCUUGUUGGGCAGAAAUUUUCAGAAUUAUCUCCAAAUUUCUCAGAAUUUUUAUGAGAAUGACCUGCAUCCGCUGACGUAUCGUAGACGUGUCUUGGCUUGCCGCCAUAUUGGUUUUUGCGUCUUUUUGGUAACUUCACAAAUUUUGACUUUCUUGUUCGUUUUUUGGGAGAUAUUUUGUGUGUCUGCAAAAGAAGAAGCAUAAAAGUAUUGUUUGGGUGUAAAACUAUUAUUUGGUGAGUUUUUUAACGUGUUUAUUUAGUUAUAGUAGACAGAAGCUUGAAUAGAAAAUAUUUUGGUAUUGUUUUUGACGUCAUCAUUUUUACCGCGUGUCUGGUUUUUAACACGUACGUUGCCGUUGCCGUUGGUGAAAGAUUUUGAUGAAAGAGCUGUAUAUUUCUAUAGAAUUCGUGUGUAUUUGACACGCUGUAGCUUUUAUUCCCGCGUAAACAUUCGGCAAUUUCCUCAAAAAAAGACUGCCGCUUUCUUUAAAACCACAUGUGACUAAAAAUGUAAAAUGAUUCUCGUGUUUCUUCGUGUGUUUAAAAAAAAAAGUGAAAUGUGAGCCUGUUUA